UACAGAGGGGGCUAGCGUUGUUCGGAAUUACUGGGCGUAAAGGGCGCGUAGGCGGCCCGCUAAGUCGAACGUGAAAUCCCCGGGCUCAACCCGGGAACUGCGUCCGAUACUGGCAGGCUUGAAUCCGGGAGAGGGAUGUGGAAUUCCAGGUGUAGCGGUGAAAUGCGCAGAUAUCAGGAGGAACACCAGUGGCGAAGGCGCCGCUCUGGGCCGUGACUGACGCUGAGGAGCGAAAGCGUGGGUAGCAAACAGG
rnacentral:rRNA from 1 species